rnacentral:rRNA from 1 species
UGGGGAAUAUUGGACAAUGGGGGCAACCCUGAUCCAGCAAUGCCGCGUGAGUGAAGAAGGCCCUAGGGUUGUAAAGCUCUUUCACCCGUGAAGAUGAUGACGGUAGCGGGAGAAGAAGCCCCGGCUAAUUCCGUGCCAGCAGCCGCGGUAAUACGGAAGGGGCUAGCGUUGUUCGGAAUUACUGGGCGUAAAGAGCGCGUAGGCGGCUCUUCAAGUUAGGCGUGAAAGGCCUGGGCUCAACCUGGGAACUGCGUUUAAUACUGGAGAGCUUGAGUCCGGGAGAGGGUGGUGGAAUUCCCAGUGUAGAGGUGAAAUUCGUAGAUAUUGGGAGGAACACCAGUGGCGAAGGCGGCCACCUGGCCCGGAACUGACGCUGAGGCGCGAAAGCGUGGGGAGCAAACAGGAUUAGAUACCCCCGUAGUCC